rnacentral:rRNA from 1 species
CACACUGUAAACGAUGAGUGCUAGGUGUAGGAGGUAUCGACCCCUUCUGUGCCGGAGUAAACGCAAUAAGCACUCCGCCUGGGGAGUACGGUCGCAAGAUUAAAACUCAAAGGAAUUGACGGGGGCCCGCACAAGCAGCGGAGCAUGUGGUUUAAUUCGACGCAACGCGAAGAACCUUACCAGGUCUUGACAUCCAGCAAAAGCUGUGGAAACACGGUGUGUCUUCGGACAUGAUGAGACAGGUGG